UACGAAGGGGGCUAGCGUUGCUCGGAAUUACUGGGCGUAAAGGGCGCGUAGGCGGAUGUUUAAGUCAGAGGUGAAAGCCCCAGGGCUCAACCUUGGAACUGCCUUUGAUACUGGGCAUCUUGAGUAUGGGAGAGGUGAGUGGAACUCCGAGUGUAGAGGUGAAAUUCGUAGAUAUUCGGAAGAACACCAGUGGCGAAGGCGACUCACUGGCCCAUUACUGGACGCUGAGGCGCGAAAGCGUGGGGAGCAAACAGG
rnacentral:rRNA from 1 species